rnacentral:rRNA from 1 species
AUGAUGCUGGAGGGCAAAUCCUGCCUCGUCUCGCGCUCCCUGCCCAGCUACUGCGACCCGGACUCCGACUGGGCGUUCCUCCUCAGCGGCACCAAGCGCUCCGCGCCGGAGGACUUCGGCGCGGAGGACAUGGAGGAGGUAGACGCCGGCGGCAGCAGCGGGAAGCGCAGCAAGUCGCCUUCCCCGCAGCCGCACACGCCGGACAUCACCGAGAGCCACGGCUCCAGCCGCCAUGCCUCCUCAGGCAGCGGCGGAGGGGAACAGCAAGGCUCUGGGGCCAAUCUCAUUGGCGAGAUUGGCCGGGACCUCUCCAUCAACUGCCUGCUCCGGCUCUCCAGGUCGGACUAUGGCUCCGUCGCCUCCCUCAACAGGGACUUCAACUCCCUGGUGCGCAACGGGGAGAUCUACCGCCUGCGGCGGCAGAAUGGCUUCGCCGAGCAUUGGGUCUACUUCUCCUGCAAUGUCCUGGAGUGGGACGCCUAUGACCCCUACAGGGAGCGCUGGAUCCAGGUGCCCAAGAUGCCACCGGAUGAAUGCUUCAUGUGCUCUGACAAGGAGUCCCUGGCCGUGGGCACCGAGCUGCUUGUGUUUGGGAUGGCACACAUUGUCUUCAGAUACAGCAUCCUGACCAAUUCAUGGACAAGGGCUGAUCCCAUGAACUCUCCCCGGUGCUUGUUUGGAUCAACAAGCGUUGGUGAGAAGGCGUAUGUCGCUGGAGGCACCGAUGCUUCUGGAAAGAUCCUGAGCUCUGCAGAGAUGUAUGACUCUGUGACACACACUUGGACACCCCUUCCCAGCAUGAAUAGGGCUAGGAAGAUGUGUUCUGGUGUGUUCUUGGAUGGCAAGUUCUAUGUGAUCGGUGGUGUUACCAACAACAACCAGGUACUGACAUGUGGUGAGGAAUAUGACUUGAAUCGGGGGUCGUGGAGGGUCAUUGAGAACAUGUCUGAGGGCCUCAAUGGAGUGACCGGUGCUCCUCCACUCAUUGCAGUUGUCAACAAUCAGCUUUAUGCGGCUGAUUACAGUGAGAAGGAUGUGAAGAAGUAUGACAAGCUGAAUAAUAAGUGGAUCGCUCUUGGGAAAUUGCCCGAACGGUCUGUGUCAAUGAAUGGAUGGGGCCUUGCUUUCCGAGCCUGUGGUGACCGGCUGAUUGUCAUUGGAGGCCCAAGGACUUCUAUUGGUGGCAUCAUUGAGCUUAAUUCAUGGGUUCCCGAUGGGCAACCGCCUGUGUGGAAUUUGGUUGCCACACGGCAAUCCGGGAACUUCGUGUAUAACUGCGCCGUGAUGGGUUGCUGA